GACGAAGGGUGCAAGCGUUAUCCGGAUUCACUGGGGUUAAAGGGUGCGUAGGCGGAUAGGUAAGUCCGUGGUGAAAUCCUGCAGCUUAACUGCAGAACUGCCAUGGAUACUAUUUAUCUUGAAUGUCGUGGAGGUUAGCAGAAUAUGUCAUGUAGCGGUGAAAUGCUUAGAUAUGACAUAGAACACCAAUUGCGAAGGCAGCUUACUACCCGAAUAUUGACACUGAGGCACGAAAGCGUGGGGAUCAAACAGG
rnacentral:rRNA from 1 species